rnacentral:lncRNA from 1 species
AUGCAUGGGACUGUCCUCCUGGUGGAGGGCUGGGGACCUGGGGUGCUACAUUCACCCCUGCACUGCCUAGGUGCAACAGUGUCUCUGGGUGGGCUGUGCCAGAAGGGAGGCAAGGGAGAGUGCCCGGGCUUGGACCUCCCCUCGGAACCCCCACAGGGGCACAAAAGGAGCUUCCCUGGCUUGCAGCACCCCACCCCCACCCCAAGCUGCAUAGCAAGAGCACUGCGGAGCCACACUACAUCCUGCCACCCCCUCCUCCAUCCCACAGCGUCCCCGCCCCCCAUCACUGCAGCACAGAGCCCCUAUUCCCCUCAGCAGAGGCCUGUACACACACCCCGGAGCAGGGAGACGGAGGCAGAUUCUCCCAGAAGGGGUGACCCUGUGGGGGCUGGGCCUAUUGUUGCCCCCUCCCCUCCAAGCCAGACUGUUAGGUACCCCCACCUGGUCUGCUCCGAAACCCAGGCUGGGCAGCUAGGCCUAGCGAGGUGGCUGCAGCAGCCUGGCUGUGCCAGCCCCUCCCCCAGCGCCGCGGCUGCCUCUGCAGCAGGCGGAAGGGCGCAGGGGCUUUAUCCCUCAGGGCCGGCUGGGCACCCCGGGGUGGGGGUGCGGGGCGGCCUGGACAUUUGGGGGGAUGGAUCUGCAGCCCUCCCCUGCGACAGGGGACGGCCCCUUCUCGGGUGUCCCACGCCACAGGCCGUCGCGUCCCUCCCACGGCCGAGGCUCCACACCUCCCGGACCGGCUCCGGGCCAGGGUCCGCCUGCUCCGGUUCUGGCCCCCGCGGGGGUGCCGUUCGGGACGUUGGGGGGUCGCGCAGAUCCGCGCUGGAUCUCAGGUGGCCCUGGUGGGUCCCGGAUUUUUGUCCCCCCGUUGCGCACCCAAAGAAGGAGCUGCGUGGAGAAGGACGGCAACGCGGCGGGCGGGCGUGGGCUGGGCCCGGGUCCGCCGGGCGCUGCGGAAGGCGCGGAAGGGGCCUCCCUGUCCCGGGCGUCCUGGCCGGCCGGGGCCGCUCACUCCGGGGCCGCCUCCUCCUCCCGGGCGCCCGCCGGUGCCGCUGCCCCAGCGCCCCCGACGCUGCGCCCUCCGCCCCCGGCCCGGGCCGGUGA